rnacentral:rRNA from 1 species
GCUUGCUGCAUGCUUUAUACAUGCAAGUCGAACGAAGGCCCUAGCUUGCUAGGUGUCCUUAGUGGCGCACGGGUGAGUAACACGUGGGAACAUACCUUAUAGUACGGAAUAACUGCGGGAAACUGUAGCUAAUACCGUAUAUUCCAGUAAUGGGAAAGAUUUAUCGCUAUAAGAUUGGCCCGCGCAAGAUUAGUUUGUUGGUGAGGUAAGAGCUCACCAAGGCUUCGAUCUUUAGCUGGUUUGAGAGGACGAUCAGCCACACUGGGACUGAGACACGGCCCAGACUCCUACGGGAGGCAGCAGUAGGGAAUAUUGGACAAUGGGGGCAACCCUGAUCCAGCAAUGCAGCGUGAGUGACGAAGGCCUUAGGGUUGUAAAACUCUUUCAUCGGUGAGGAUAAUGACAGUAGCCGAAGAAGAAGGACCGGCUAAUUCCGUGCCAGCAGCCGCGGUAAUACGGAAGGUCCUAGCGUUGUUCGGAAUUACUGGGCGUAAAGCGCAUGUAGGCGGAACAGAAAGUUAGAAGUGAAAUCCCUGGGCUCAACCUAGGAAUUGCUUUUAAAACUUCUGUUCUGGAAUUCAGGAGAGGAAAAUGGAAUUUCCAGUGUAGAGGUGAAAUUCGUAGAUAUUGGAAGGAACACCAGUGGCGAAGGCGAUUUUCUGGACUGAUAUUGACGCUGAGAUGCGAAGGCAUGGGUAGCAAACGGGAUUAGAUACCCCGGUAGUCCAUGCAGUAAACGAUGGGUGCUAGUCGUCGGACUUUUGUUCGGUGUCGUAGCUAACGCGUUAAGCACCCCGCCUGGGGAGUACGGUC